rnacentral:rRNA from 1 species
UACGGAAGGCAGCAGCGGGGAAUAUUGCACAAUGGGCGAAAGCCUGAUGCAGCUAUGCCGCGUGUAUGAAGAAGGCCUUAGGGUUGUAAAGUACUUUCAUCGGGGAGGAAAAACAAAACUAAUAAUUUUAUUUCUUGACGUUACCCGAAAAAGAAGCACCGGCUAACUCCGUGCCAGCAGCCGCGGUAAUACGGAGGGUGCUAGCGUUAAUCAGAAUUACUGGGCGUAAAGAGCACGUAGGUGGUUUUUUUAAGUCAGAUGUGAAAUCCCUGGGCUUAACCUAGGAACUGCAUUUUGAAACUGAAAUACUAGAGUAUCGUAGAGGGAGGUAGAAUUCUAGGUGUAGCGGUGAAAUGCGUAGAUAUCUGGAGGAAUACCUGUGGCGAAAGCGGCCUCCUAAACGAAUACUGACACUGAGGUGCGAAAGCGUGGGGAGCAAACAGGGAUUAGAUACC